rnacentral:rRNA from 1 species
GCUCCGUCACUUCAUUUAAGUUUCCUACGGGAGGCAGCAGUAAGGAAUAUUGGUCAAUGGAGGGAACUCUGAACCAGCCAUGCCGCGUGCAGGAUGACUGCCCUAUGGGUUGUAAACUGCUUUUGUCAGGGAAUAAACCUUUCCACGUGUGGGAAGCUGAAUGUACCUGAAGAAUAAGGAUCGGCUAACUCCGUGCCAGCAGCCGCGGUAAUACGGAGGAUCCAAGCGUUAUCCGGAUUUAUUGGGUUUAAAGGGUGCGUAGGCGGUCCUAUAAGUCAGUGGUGAAAGACGGCAGCUUAACUGUCGCAGUGCCUUUGAUACUGUAGGACUUGAAUCUAUUUGAAGUGGGCGGAAUAAGACAAGUAGCGGUGAAAUGCAUAGAUAUGUCUUAGAACUCCGAUUGCGAAGGCAGCUCACUAAGUUAGUAUUGUCGCUGAUGCACGAAAGCCUGGGGAUCAAACAAGAUUAGAUUUCCUGGUAGAACGCGCCCUACACGAUGUUAACCAGAUGUUCGCGAUACACAGUAGGUGGUCCAAGCAGAAAGCUGCUCUAAUUGA